GACGAACGCNGGCGGCGUGCUUAACACAUGCAAGUCGAACGAAGAGCGACGGAAGCUUGCUUCUAUCAAUCUUAGUGGCGAACGGGUGAGUAACGCGUAAUCAACCUGCCCUUCAGAGGGGGACAACAGUUGGAAACGACUGCUAAUACCGCAUACGAUCUAAUCUCGGCAUCGAGGAUAGAUGAAAGGUGGCCUCUACAUGUAAGCUAUCACUGAAGGAGGGGAUUGCGUCUGAUUAGCUAGUUGGAGGGGUAAUGGCCCACCAAGGCGAUGAUCAGUAGCCGGUCUGAGAGGAUGAACGGCCACAUUGGGACUGAGACACGGCCCAGACUCCUACGGGAGGCAGCAGUGGGGAAUCUUCCGCAAUGGACGAAAGUCUGACGGAGCAACGCCGCGUGAGUGAUGACGGCCUUCGGGUUGUAAAGCUCUGUUAAUCGGGACGAAAGGCCUUCUUGCGAAUAGUUAGGAGGAUGA
rnacentral:rRNA from 1 species